rnacentral:rRNA from 1 species
CAGUAGCCGCGGUAAUACGUAGGGUGCAAGCGUUAAUCGGAAUUACUGGGCGUAAAGCGUGCGCAGGCGGUUAUUCAAGACAGAUGUGAAAUCCCCGGGCUCAACCUGGGAACUGCAUUUGUGACUGGAUGACUAGAGUACGGCAGAGGGGGAUGGAAUUCCGCGUGUAGCAGUGAAAUGCGUAGAUAUGCGGAGGAACACCGAUGGCGAAGGCAAUCCCCUGGGCCUGUACUGACGCUCAUGCACGAAAGCGUGGGGAGCAAACAGGAUUAGAUACCCCUGUAGUCCCUGUCUCUUAUAC